UCGGGCUUUGCUAAUACUUUAUUAAGCACCCGUUGUGUGUAGGGCUGGGGGUAAAACUGAGAGCAGACAGAGCAACUAACUAGCUUUACUGGCUGCAUCUGGUCGGCUGCUCUUGUGCAGUAUCUCCGUCUCUGCAUCCAGCCGCCAUUCUCUCAAGCCUUCCGCCAUCCUUUCAUCCACUACUAGGUGGUCCAGCUCUUGCCUUCAACUUCCACAUCCACGUUUGUUCCCGAGAGGCGCCCCUUCAAAUGGAGCUGGUGAGGGCCAGGGCCUCAGCCCUGAAUGUUCUUCCUGCCCACACCCCUGUCAGGAGCGCUCCCUGCUGAGGGGCUGAGUUGGUUCCCUGGAGAGCUGCCAAGAGCACCCGCAGUCUGUGGCUCCCAGAGUAUGUGAAAACCACAGCACACUUUGGUCUAAGUGUCUGGGUGCACCGGGUGGGGUUGUGUGCACGUGCAGGAAAGAGCUGGGGGUUUUGCUGCUCUGAGCUUCUCUCUCGCACCCUGGUCCUAGGCUCUGUCUCACUUUCGAAACUACCAGUGUUCCAGAACUUUCCAGCCCUCAGUCAGAUACGGAGGACAUACAUGCAUUCCCUUGGUGAUUCCACCAGCUACCCUGCCUUGCAAAUGAGCAGGCGGCUGCUAACUUCUUUCCAAUCCAGCUCUGCAGACUGGACAGGGAGAACAGACCAUUCGAGAAGAGAACGACAAAGGAAGGGAAGAGGGAAACAGAAAUGAAGGAGGGAGAGAAGAAAACAACAGCAAGUUCUAAGCAAUUCCAGCACCCACGCGCUCUUACUGUAUCCUGGUGACUGGGAAGGAGUUCUCCAAUACCUCCCAGCAUACCUUAGCAUCCCUCACACAGCGAACAUCGUGCUCAAAAGAAUCAUUGGAUGCAAGGGAACCUCCCCUAACCUAGGAUAAGCAUGGCACCGAGGGUAGGGGGAACACAGGUACUAGCUACAGAACCAGAGCUGCUUCUUGAUGGCUCCUUUGGGUCCCCUGUCCUCUGUGGGUGUCAUACAGGGGGUUCUGUAGGUACUGUGCUCUGUACCCUCUCCCUGUGCCUUGUAUUAUAAAUACUUCCUGGAUACUUAAAAGAAUCCUCCUCCUCUUCCUCUUCCUCCUCCUCUUCCUCCUCCUCCUCUUCCUCCUCCUCCUCUUCCUCCUCCUCCUCUUCUUCCUCCUCCUC
rnacentral:lncRNA from 1 species